UACGGAGGGUGCGAGCGUUGUCCGGAAUCACUGGGCGUAAAGGGCGCGUAGGCGGCUUCUCAAGCGUGUGGUGAAAGUCCGGGGCUCAACCCCGGAUCGGCCGUGCGGACUGGGGAGCUCGAGUUCUGUAGAGGCGGGUGGAAUUCCGGGUGUAGCGGUGGAAUGCGUAGAGAUCCGGAAGAACACCGGAGGCGAAGGCGGCUGGCUGGGCCUGAUCUGACGCUGAGGUGCGAAAGCGUGGGGAGCGAACAGG
rnacentral:rRNA from 1 species